rnacentral:tRNA from 1 species
UCCUCCUUAGCUCAGUUGGUAGAGAGCGUCACUCGUACGAUGUUGCAAUGACGAGGUCAGUCGUUCAAGUCGGCUAGGGGGAA